UGGUGGUUGCAGGUCAUGAAACACAAUUCCUUUAUACAAUACCUUUCCAUUUUUAUUGCUUUAAUUUUUUUCAUUUUAGCCGCUGAAUGAAGCUGGAACAGAACAGAUUGGAAUUUUAGUGUCACAACAUCUGGCUGGCUGGACGAUGAAACAUCCCUCUGUGGACACAGACGUUGCGUCAGGUUUUUAUCCGUAGAUUCUUCCUGGGAUAAUAACUUUGCAACCAACACUGUGACUUUGAUAGCUAGCAGUUGAGUAGCCUUUCAAUUCCAAACAAAAGAAGUCAUGAUUACUCAAUUGACAUGACACUUUGUAUGGCUGGUCCGGGAGUAAUGCUGUUCGAAGUAUCAUGUGUUAGUACAGGCUGACAAGAAUCACAAACACAUUGUAAACUAUAAUACGGUAAGAAAAUACCUUGGAAUUGGAAGAAAUGGCAAUUUUUAUUAUAUAAUUUAUUAUAUUUAUAACAGGUGUGUAAAAACCAUUUUCUAGCCCAUUUAUCUAUUUUUAGCCUGUUUAUUAUAUUUAUACAAUAUCAUACCAUUUUUAUUGUAUAAUUUUUGUCUGUUUAGCCGCCGAAUGGAGCUGGAACAGGAGAGAUAUGAAUUGUAACAGUAAGACAUGAUUGGCUGGACGUUUCAACGUUUCUGUGAGAUUAUAGACUUAUUUAGUUAUAUAAAUCAUAUAGAUUAAUUUAAAGAUUGAAAAAGGAGUUAUAUUAUUAUGGUAGGAUAAUUUUGUUUUUGUACCAACUGACGAGAAUAACAAAAUUUUGUAUAACUUAUUAUGCACCCAUGGCAAAAUUUUGUAAAUUAUUGAUUGUCAUUCAGUGAAAAGGUUGGAUUAGCAUAUAGAUAGAGAUAGAUAUAAUGACAUACAGAUAAAUAAGUUAAUAGUUAUUCCAAGUCAGAACAGGUAAAUAAUCAAGUAAUUGCAGUAUUUGUUUUUUAAUGGUAUUUUGCAGGUACAAGUCUCACAUACAUAUUUCAACUGUAUUGAUAAAAUAUUCAAUGCUUAAUAAUUUUACUUCCAUUUAAUAACAGGUUAGUAAUGUGAAAUUUUUUACAUGGUAACAUGAUAAAUACCAAAAGUGAAGAAAUCUAGAAGUCACAAGGAACAUAAAUUUGAAAAACGGUCCGAGUAAACACUUCAGCACCCUCUCACACACGGACUGGAAAAUGGUCGUUUCCUAAAGAAAUGGAAUACUAUUGGCGGGUAAUCCUGAUCUCUGGGGCUGAAGAGGACACUGGACAACCAGAGUCGCCGUUGCAGCCACUGGAAUAUCACCCAGGAUUUUGAGGAAGGCUACAUCUCCACCGAAGAGGACCGUUGGUCAACGAGCGUUAUCGCCAGGAUCUUCGCCCAAAAUUCCAAAGGGGAAGGCAACACCACCGAGGAGGACUACAGGACGUUGGGGGUCGCCGCUGCAGUCGCCAAGGAUUGCCAGGUAUCACUUUAACAAUUUUCAGUGUUUAAUCGUGUUCAUUUAUGUAUGUAGGAUGGUUAGAUCACCACCGAGGUGGGUCACUAGACAACAAGGUUCGCUGUCGGAACCACCAGGAAUCGUCGCCCAAAAUUGUCAAGUAUUUAGUUGAAAGUAUUAGGUUAUGAAUUAUGUUUUUUUUUUUUUUUUUGAUGUAUUUAGGAGGGCAGGACCACCAUCGAAGAGGAUGCUGGGCGUCGAGGAUCGCCGCUGUAGCAACGAGAUUGUCGGCAUAGAGGGCCUCACCAUCACCGAAGAGGGCGCUGGAGUACCGAUAUCGACGCCGUGGAUGUUUCAGGUAUAUCAUUUACUCGUUUAAUUGUCGAUUCAUAUUUUUUUUAAUGUAUUUAAGAGGGCUUCAUCUUCGCCGUCGGAGCUACAAGGAUUGUCGCCCAAUAUUGCCAAGAGGGCGCAAUCAUCGCCGAAGACGAUCACUGGCCAACGUGGUUCGCCGUAGAAGUCACCAGUAUCGUCGGCUAAAAUCGUCAAGUGGGCCGCACCAUCAUCGAAGAGGAUGCCGGACAUUGAGGGUCGUUGCUGGAGGAACGACAUUGUCCGCAAUGGAGGUUUUAGGAGGGUUCCGUCGUCGCCGAAGAGGACUACUGAAUGUCGUGGAUCGUCGUUGGAGCAACGGGAAUCUCCGCCCAUCCCCGAGCUACACGCCCAUUAGGUCGAUGGAGGAAAAAAGAUGGUACGGUUGAGUAUUGCCUAUUGGCAUUUUUCUACUUUAUUCCGCGUUAUUCGUGUAUGGUAGAAACUGUUGCUCUUGUCAUUUAUUCCUUCCCGUUAUUUUCCCUUAAACAUUACGGCGUACGGUUUAACUUUCACCGAGGACGCAAAUUCACUACACCUAUAGACCACGGUUCGUUCACGGUUUGUUUGCGUUUUUGCACGGUUUGUUUGCGUUUUUUACACGGUUUGGGAUUAGUGGAUCGGGUAAUGUAGUUCUUCUUUCAUUGGUUUCAUGCCAAGUAUUUAGUUGGUGCAGGUUUACUAACACUUGCUACUUCUAAAAUAAAAAGUAAAACAAAUUAAAUAUAUUUUAUGUCUGCAUGCUCUUUUUUGAGUAUGGUUUCGUGACCACUGUAAUACAGGAAUAAAUUAAUAAUCGCGUGCGGUCUGGUUGCUAACCCCGAUUUGACAACCCGAUAAAAACGUGAUGGGGCAGUAACCCUUCUAACCUGCCCCAUAGACAAGAAUAAAUAAUUCGCUGAACAACAAACCGGUUCGAGCGAAACGGGUUUGUUGGGCUCAUUGGCCCUACAGUUUUUCUCAACGGAUUUGGAGGUAU